UGAAUGCACUAACUGUAAGUCGCUCUGGAUAAGAGCAUCUGCUAAAUGACUCAAA
rfam:Salmo salar isolate Sally breed double haploid chromosome ssa13, whole genome shotgun sequence.